GUGACUGCGUACCUUUUGUAUAAUGGGUCAGCGACUUAUAUUCUGUAGCAAGGUUAACCGAAUAGGGGAGCCGAAGGGAAACCGAGUCUUAACUGGGCGUUAAGUUGCAGGGUAUAGACCCGAAACCCGGUGAUCUAGCCAUGGGCAGGUUGAAGGUUGGGUAACACUAACUGGAGGACCGAACCGACUAAUGUUGAAAAAUUAGCGGAUGACUUGUGGCUGGGGGUGAAAGGCCAAUCAAACCGGGAGAUAGCUGGUUCUCCCCGAAAGCUAUUUAGGUAGCGCCUCGUGAACUCAUCUCCGGGGGUAGAGCACUGUUUCGGCAAGGGGGUCAUCCCGACUUACCAACCCGAUGCAAACUGCGAAUACCGGAGAAUGUUAUCACGGGAGACACACGGCGGGUGCUAACGUCCGUCGUGAAGAGGGAAACAACCCAGACCGCCAGCUAAGGUCCCAAAGUCAUGGUUAAGUGGGAAACGAUGUGGGAAGGCCCAGACAGCCAGGAUGUUGGCUUAGAAGCAGCCAUCAUUUAAAGAAAGCGUAAUAGCUCACUGGUCGAGUCGGCCUGCGCGGAAGAUGUAACGGGGCUAAACCAUGCACCGAAGCUGCGGCAGCGACGCUUAUGCGUUGUUGGGUAGGGGAGCGUUCUGUAAGCCUGUGAAGGUGUACUGUGAGGUAUGCUGGAGGUAUCAGAAGUGCGAAUGCUGACAUAAGUAACGAUAAAGCGGGUGAAAAGCCCGCUCGCCGGAAGACCAAGGGUUCCUGUCCAACGUUAAUCGGGGCAGGGUGAGUCGACCCCUAAGGCGAGGCCGAAAGGCGUAGUCGAUGGGAAACAGGUUAAUAUUCCUGUACUUGGUGUUACUGCGAAGGGGGGACGGAGAAGGCUAUGUUGGCCGGGCGACGGUUGUCCCGGUUUAAGCGUGUAGGCUGGUUUUCCAGGCAAAUCCGGAAAAUCAAGGCUGAGGCGUGAUGACGAGGCACUACGGUGCUGAAGCAACAAAUGCCCUGCUUCCAGGAAAAGCCUCUAAGCAUCAGGUAACAUCAAAUCGUACCCCAAACCGACACAGGUGGUCAGGUAGAGAAUACCAAGGCGCUUGAGAGAACUCGGGUGAAGGAACUAGGCAAAAUGGUGCCGUAACUUCGGGAGAAGG
rnacentral:rRNA from 1 species